GAGGGUAUAGCUCAGUGGUAGAGCACAUGCUUACAUGCACGAGGUCCUGGGUUCAAUCCCCAGUACCUCUA
rnacentral:tRNA from 1 species